rfam:Otolemur garnettii contig068926, whole genome shotgun sequence.
GCCUGAUGCAGUGGCACGUACCUGUAGUCCCAGCUACUCAUGAGGCUGAGGCUGGAAGAUAGCUUGAGUCCAAGAGCACUGGACUUUAGUGUGCUUUGCCGAUGGGGUGUUUGUACUAAGUUCAGCAUCAAUAAGGUGACCUCCUGGAAGCGGGGGGGGGGGGAAAGGGGGGUGCAGAACCAGGUUGCCUACAGAGGGGUGAACCAGCCCGGGUUGGAAAUGGAGCAGGUCAAAGCUCCCUUGCUGUUCAGUAGUGGGAUCACACUUGUGAAUAGCCACUGCACUCCAGCCUGUGCAACAUAGCAAGACCCUGUCUCUA